AAGAAAUUAAAAAAAAAAAAAAAAGAAGAAGAGAUUAAAAUGUCAACAAAUUCUGGAAAUUACUAUCCUGGAGCUGGAAUAAUCAAAUGGGGUUUUCUCGUAUCAGACAACUGAGUGAAGGAAAUUUGGAAAUUGAAAGGCAAAUUGCUAAACUACAAGUACUAGAGUUUGUGAUUUUUAUGUAAGAUGUCAUUUAAUUAUUUGGUUCUUGACAAAUGACUCUCUCUGUGUGUCUGGCAUUCUUUCCACACGGCAUUGAAAGCUUUUGCUUUUGCUGAUGUCAUUUCUUUGUUGGGUGUGGUCUAGAUGGGGUGUGAAAUCCACGCUCCGGUCAUCGGCAGAUCGUAGAUGUUUAGGUGUGUGUACCUAAUUAUUGACCGAUCAGAGAGUUGUGCUUUGUUAAAACUUGUGGGUUUGUUAAAUGGCAAUUAUUUUAGGCCAUGACAACAUUAAUUAUAUGGCUUAAUUGAGC
rnacentral:misc_RNA from 1 species